rnacentral:rRNA from 1 species
UAGACUUGCAUGGUAGUGAACGAGGGUGAAAGCCUGAGGUUCGCAAGACACUACCACUGGUGCUGCAUGGCUGUCGUCAGCUCGUGUCGUGAGAUGUUAGGUUAAGUCCUGUAACGAGCGCAACCCCCGGAAGUAGUUACACGUAGUCUACUUCAACUGCCUGCGCAAGUGGGAGGAAGGUGGGGAUGACGUCAAGUCAGCAUGGCCUGUAUGUCUAGGGCUACACACACG